AAGUCGUAACAAGGUUUCCGUAGGUGAACCUGCGGAAGGAUCAUUGACACACAAUCGAUCUUCACACCACACAAACCUGAUACGUUGGCGUUGUGCGCGGAUUGGCUUUAGGUAUUGCUCGCAAUGCCUAUAGCACCCACUCCGCGCACACACAAUAUAUCAAACCUUCUUUGCGCUUCACCGCGUAAAGGCCAAAACCCUAAAAAACAAAAAAACCUAAAAUAAAAAUCAAAAAUAUUCAACGAUGGAUAUCUUGGUUCUG
rnacentral:misc_RNA from 1 species